rnacentral:rRNA from 1 species
AUGCCCCCUGGGCGAAAGGAAAGGGGCCGCCAUUCUCUUUCUUUCUUCAAUCGUUCCGAUCAUUUCUCUCAUUCCCUUUUGUUUGUUUUUUCGGGUUGGUUCGUUUCCUCCUCCUAUCUACGCAAUUCUCUGUCUUCAUUCGUGAUCAUCUUAGGCGAAAGGAUAGGUAUAAAUUUUGUGGAGGGGCGGCUGUGA